UACGUAGGUGGCAAGCGUUGUCCGGAAUUAUUGGGCGUAAAGCGCGCGCAGGCGGUCCUUUAAGUCUGAUGUGAAAGCCCACGGCUCAACCGUGGAGGGUCAUUGGAAACUGGGGGACUUGAGUACAGAAGAGGAAAGCGGAAUUCCACGUGUAGCGGUGAAAUGCGUAGAGAUCGGGAGGAACACCAGCGGCGAAGGCGGCAAACGUGGAUAGGCACUGACACUCAACAACGAAAGCGUGGGGAGCAAACAGG
rnacentral:rRNA from 1 species